rnacentral:rRNA from 1 species
AGAGUUUGAUCCUGGCUCAGGAUGAACGCUGGCGGCGUGCCUAAUACAUGCAAGUCGAACGCUUUGUCUUUAAUUGAUAUGAAGAGCUUGCUCUGAUUUGAUUUUAUCUGACAAAGAGUGGCGAACGGGUGAGUAACACGUGGGUAACCUACCUCUUAGCAGGGGAUAACAUUUGGAAACAAGUGCUAAUACCGUAUAAUACCAACAACCGCAUGGUUGUUGGUUGAAAGAUGGUUCUGCUAUCACUAAGAGAUGGACCCGCGGUGCAUUAGCUAGUUGGUAAGGUAACGGCUUACCAAGGCAAUGAUGCAUAGCCGAGUUGAGAGACUGAUCGGCCACAAUGGGACUGAGACACGGCCCAUACUCCUACGGGAGGCAGCAGUAGGGAAUCUUCCACAAUGGGCGCAAGCCUGAUGGAGCAACGCCGCGUGUGUGAUGAAGGGUUUCGGCUCGUAAAACACUGUUAUAAGAGAAGAACGGCACUGAGAGUAACUGUUCAGUGUGUGACGGUAUCUUACCAGAAAGGAACGGCUAAAUACGUGCCAGCAGCCGCGGUAAUACGUAUGUUCCAAGCGUUAUCCGGAUUUAUUGGGCGUAAAGCGAGCGCAGACGGUUAUUUAAGUCUGAAGUGAAAGCCCUCAGCUCAACUGAGGAAUGGCUUUGGAAACUGGAUGACUUGAGUGCAGUAGAGGAAAGUGGAACUCCAUGUGUAGCGGUGAAAUGCGUAGAUAUAUGGAAGAACACCAGUGGCGAAGGCGGCUUUCUGGACUGUAACUGACGUUGAGGCUCGAAAGUGUGGGUAGCAAACAGGAUUAGAUACCCUGGUAGUCCACACCGUAAACGAUGAGUGCUAGAUGUUCGAGGGUUUCCGCCCUUGAGUGUCGCAGCU